rnacentral:rRNA from 1 species
GAUGAACGCUGGCGGCGUGCCUAAUACAUGCAAGUCGAGCGAACAGACGAGGAGCUUGCUCCUCUGACGUUAGCGGCGGACGGGUGAGUAACACGUGGAUAACCUACCUAUAAGACUGGGAUAACUUCGGGAAACCGGAGCUAAUACCGGAUAAUAUAUUGAACCGCAUGGUUCAAUAGCGAAAGACGGUUUUGCUGUCACUUAUAGAUGGAUCCGCGCCGCAUUAGCUAGUUGGUAAGGUAACGGCUUACCAAGGCAACGAUGCGUAGCCGACCUGAGAGGGGGAUCGGCCACACUGGAACUGAGACACGGUCCAGACUCCUACGGGAGGCAGCAGUAGGGAAUCUUCCGCAAUGGGCGAAAGCCUGACGGAGCAACGCCGCGUGAGUGAUGAAGGUCUUCGGAUCGUAAAACUCUGUUAUUAGGGAAGAACAAAUGUGUAAGUAACUAUGCACGUCUUGACGGUACCUAAUCAGAAAGCCACGGCUAACUACGUG